rnacentral:misc_RNA from 1 species
UAGGCUUGACAUGCACAGGAAUGUCGUAGAAAUACGGCAGCCCUUCGGGGCCUGUGCACAGGUGGUGCAUGGCUGUCAUCAGCUCGUGCCGUGAGGUGUUGGGUUAAGUCCCGCAACGAGCGCAACCCCUGUCCCUAGUUGCCAGCGAGUUAUGUCGGGGACUCUAGGGAGACUGCCGGUGACAAAUCGGAGGAAGGUGGGGAUGACGUUUUCUACG